AAUGAACGCUGGCGGCAUGCCUAAUACAUGCAAGUCGAGCGGAGUUGCGGACGGGCGAGUAAUGCCUAGGAAUCUGCCUGGUAGUUGGGGAUAAUGUCCGGACACGGGCGCUAAUCUCGCAUAUUACCUGAUGAGACUAGGUGGAAUUAGCUAGUUGGUGGGGUAAAGGCCUACCUAGGCGACGAUCCGUAUCUGGUCUGAGAGGAGGAUCGGUCACACUGGAACUGAGACACGGUCCAGACUCCUACGGGAGGCAGCAGUGGGGAAUAUUGGACAAUGGGCGAAAGCCUGAUCCAGCAAUGCCGCGGGAGUGAAGAAGGGCUUCGGAUUGUAAAGCACUUUAAGUAGGGAGGCGUUACCAACAGAGUAAGCACCGGCUAACUUCGUGCCAGCAGCCGCGGUAAUAC
rnacentral:rRNA from 1 species